CUGCCAUUUCCUAGCAACUUUCAAACUUGGGGGGAAAAAACCUAAACAAAACAACACAGAAAGAACUGCGGGGAAAUACAUAUGCCUACAAUUUAGAAGGCAGGCAAGUGAGUGCCAAACACGAAAGGCAGCUGGCUGAUUGCUAUCUGAAGCAUGGACCUUCCUGGACAUUCCAGCUUAGCAUUCCCUAAAGGAAAUAGGGAUGAAGAACAGCUGCGAUCACUGCUGGUGGUUCCAAACCUUCCUGUCACAGUGCUAACUCCAGAGAUCACAUCUUCAUGAGCAUGAUGGUAGUCACUUGACCAGCUUCUUCAGGUCAUUUGAAUUCUUAUGAAUAUAGCACCCUAUAGACCAAAAUGUGUGAAAAAUGCUUCAUGGGAAACAGCAGUACAGGCUUUCUCACACCAUCUUCACAACAUUGUCCAUCUGGAUUUGUUCAGAACAAAAAAACACAGGAAAUGCUGUUCCUUGUCCUGCCAGAGACACUGCCUCUUCUGUCAGUAGUACUUACAUUUUUGUCUACUUCUCUGCUGAUAAAAUUCCACUGAUGUCAACUAUAGCAAACAUUCAUGCUUGCUAAAUUUGUGAACAAGAAUGGAAUAAGUGCCACACUAAACAAACAAAAGUCAAUCAUCAAGGAAUAAAUGGGGGUUUUAGCCUGCUCAAAGAAAAGGCACAGAUGGAGAAACAGCUUUCACCAUUUCAGCCAUGAUGAAAUAUUUCAUGGUGGCUAUCAAAAUGCAAGAGUAAAAUUACAGACUUCCCUUUCCAUGGCAAAAAUAAGAAUGAUGAUGAAGAUGACUGAUGCAACCAGAUCUCAGGAUCAAUCUGAACUGGCAGCAUGCAAUUCCAGCACCUCAGAAUAUACUGCAGUAUACAGUAGACCUGGGAGUUCCACCUCAUACACUUCUACUUCGUCUUCCACGCCU